rnacentral:misc_RNA from 1 species
GAUGAAGAACGUAGCGAAUUGCGAUAAGUAAUGUGAAUUGCAGAUUUUCAGUGAAUCAUCGAAUCUUUGAACGCACCUUGCGCCCUUUGGCUAUUCUGAAGGGCAUGCCUGUUUGAGUAUCGUGAACACCUCAACUCUCAUGGUCUGCCAUGAUGAGCUUGGACUUUGGGGGUCUUGCUGGCCUACUGUCAGCUCCUCUCAAAUGAAUCAGCUUACCAGUGUUUGGUGGCACCACAGGUGUGAUAACUAUCUACGCUUGUGGUUUUCUGCCAGGUAACCUCCAGUGAUGGAGGUUCGCUGGAGCUCACAAAUGUCUCUCCUCAGCGAGGACAGCUUUUUGAACGUUUGAUCUCAAAUCAGGUAGGACUACCCGCUGAACUUAAGCAUAUCAAUAAGCGGAGGA